UUGUCGUAGUUGUCGUUGUUGUCGUUGCUGUCGUUGUUGUCGUUGUCGCCGUCGUUCUCGUCGUUGUUGUUGUCGUUGUUGUCGUCGUUCUGGUUGUUUUUCUUGUUGUUGUUGUUGUUGUUGUUGUUGUUGUUGUUGUUGUCAUUCCUGGUGCUUUUGUUGUUCUUGUCGCUGUUCUCGUUGCUCUUGUUGUUGUUGUUGUCGUUGUUGUUGUCGUUGUUGUUGUCGUUGCUGUCUUUGUUCUCGUCAUUGUCGUUCUUUACAUCAUUGUUGUUGUCGUGUCGUCGUCGUCUAUGUUUUGGUUGUUGUUGUUGUUGUUGUUGCUGUUGUUGUUGUCGUUGUUCUUGUCGUUGUUGUUGUAAUUGUUGUAGUUGUUGCUGUCGUCAUCGUCUUCGUGGUCGUCGUUGUCGUCGUUGUCAUCGUUAUUGUCCUCUUCGUCGUUGUCGUCGUCAUCGUCCUUGUUGUUAUUGAUGUUGUUGUCCUUGUUGUUGUUGUGUUGUUGUUGUUGUUGUUGUUGUUGUUGUUGUUGUUGUUGUCGUUGUCGUUAUUGUUCUUGUUGUUGUCGUUGUUGUCGUUCUCGUUGUUGUCGUCGUUGUUUUCACCAUUGUCGUCGUUGUUCUUUUUAUUGUCGUUGUUGUCG
rnacentral:lncRNA from 1 species